UUAGCUUGUUAAUACAGGAUUUGAAUGGAUGACUUCUGACUGUCUGGGUUUCAGAAAGAGCUGUUUUAGGGUGGAUGUGGAUUCAUGCAUGAGGCUGCCUGUCACUGCUGUGGCUGAUUAAGAGGGCCAGGGAACUGAUGUGUGGCCAUUGGUCUGCUGCUAUAAAAUGGAGAGGGAGAUAAUUGGUGUUAAACUCAUCUGUACCUAUCAUGCUAAUAACAUCAAAUGAAUGCAACACACAGACAAUUGUGGUGCUUCUGGGAAAGAGAAACCUAGAGGCACUGACCUGGCCAGAGGAUAAGCUUAGAGGCACUGACCAGACCAGAGGAGAAGCCUAGAGGCACUGACCUGGCCAGAGGAGAAGCUUAGAGGCACUAACCAGACCAGAGGAGAAGCCUAGAGGCACUAACCAGACCAGAGGAGAAGCCUAGAGGCACUGACCAGGCCAGAGGAGAAGCUUAGAGGCACUGAGCAGACCAGAGGAGAAGCCUAGAGGUAUUGACCAGACCAGAGGAGAAGCCUAGAGGCACUGACCAGACCAGAGGAGAAGCUUAGAGGCACUGAGCAGACCAGAGGAGAAGCCUAGAGGCACUGACCAGACCAGAGGAGAAGCUUAGAGGCACUGAGCAGACCAGAGGAGAAGCUUAGAGGCACUGAGCAGACCAGAGGAGAAGCCUAGAGGCACUGAGCAGACCAGAGGAGAAGCCUAGAGGCACUGAGCAGACCAGAGGAGAAGCUUAGAGGCACUGAGCAGACCAGAGGAGAAGCCUAGAGGCACUGAGCAGACCAGAGGAUAAGCUUAGAGGCACUGAGCAGACCAGAGGAGAAGCCUAGAGGCACUGAGCAGACCAGAAGAUAAGCUUAGAGGCACUGAGCAGACCAGAGGAGAAGCCUAGAGGCACUGAGCAGACCAGAGGAGAAGCUUAGAGGCACUGACCAGACCAGAGGAGAAGCUUAGAGGCACUGACCAGACCAGAGGAGAAGCCUAGAGGCACUGACCAGACCAGAGGAGAAGCUUAGAGGCACUGAGCAGACCAGAGGAGAAGCCUAGAGGCACUGAUCUGAGCAGAUAAGAAAUGCUGAA